ensembl:snoRNA H/ACA box small nucleolar RNA (snoRNA); guides pseudouridylation of large subunit (LSU) rRNA at positions U960 and U986
AUGAUACAUAUUAAACAUGCCUUCUAUUCACUGUGCCAUCUUACAUCCGUAGGUGAUCAGAGGGGAAAAGAAGAGCUAGAGCAACUCCCACACUCAUGAGCGUCCUCAUACUGUUCUGGGCGCUUCUCACAGGUGCUUCUUUUAGUGUCUCCCAUUGGCCCAGAUCGGUAGCUGCGCGAGUGAGAUAUCU